rnacentral:rRNA from 1 species
GAACCCCUGUGAGGGGAGUGAAAUAGAUCCUGAAACCGUGUACGUACAAGCAGUGGGAGCCGACUUAGUUCGGUGACUGCGUACCUUUUGUAUAAUGGGUCAGCGACUUAUAUUCAGUAGCAAGGUUAAGCGAAUAGCGGAGCCGUAGGGAAACCGAGUCUUAAAUGGGCGACGAGUUGCUGGGUAUAGACCCGAAACCGAGUGAUCUAUCCAUGAGCAGGUUGAAGUUUCAGUAACAUGAAAUGGAGGACCGAACCCACUGUCGUUGAAAAGCCAGGGGAUGACUUGUGGAUAGGGGUGAAAGGCUAAUCAAACUCGGAGAUAGCUGGUUCUCCUCGAAAGCUAUUUAGGUAGCGCCUCGUGUAUUACCAUGGGGGGUAGAGCACUGUUAAGGCUAGGGGGUCAUCCCGACUUACCAACCCUUUGCAAACUCCGAAUACCCAUGAGUAGAGCACGGGAGACAGACAUCGGGUGCUAACGUCCGGUGUCAAAAGGGAACAACCCAGACCAUCAGCUAAGGUCCCAAAGUUAUAGUUAAGUGGGAAACGAUGU